rnacentral:lncRNA from 1 species
CAAUUUCUUCUCCUGGCAUUGUUAAGAGCGGGGCCUGGGUUAUUAUUAAUUACUUUUGCAUUAUUUAUGUAGAUCCAUGAAUGUGCAAUGUCCUUUACAGAUAAAUCACUCUGCCUUGAAAAGUUUCCAGCCAGCGAGCCAAAUCCUGCGGUGAAAAUCUGUAACAGCAGGAGGCAAUUCUGUGCUGCAGAACAGGGAGCCAGCCUUGGGGUGCACUCCAGAGACAGUCCCCACCGGUUGUGCAAGGACCCAGACCCAUGACAAGGUUCAACUCCUCACUGAUGCAGCAAGGCUUGGAGAACAGGAGCGUGUCCCAUGGCCACAAGAGCAACUUCUUCACCAUUAUGAGGAGAGACUGAGAGAGCUGGGACUCUUUAGUCUGGAGAAGAGAAGGCUGAGGGGAGACCUUAUCAAUGCCUACAAGUAUCUCAAGGGAGGGUUGAAGGAGGAGGGAGCCAGACUCUUUUCAGUGGUUCCCAGUGAGAGGACGAGGGGCAACGGGCACAAGUUGGAACAGAAGAGGUUCCACUCAAAUAUGAGGAGAAACUUCUUCACGGUGAGGGUGACAGAGCCCUGGAACAGGCUGCCCAGGGAGGGUGUGGAGUCCCCUUCUUUGGAGAUUUUCAAGACCUGCCUGAAUGCAGUCCUGAGUAACAUGCUCUAGCUCUAGGUGAUCCUGCUUCAGCAGGGGAGUUGGACUAGAUGAUCUCUAUGGUCCCUUCCAACUCUAAAAUUCAGUGAAAUUCAGUGAAAUUAUGCUGUGGGAAGAGCCUGGAAAGCAUCGCCCUGUACCCGUGGACCAGUGGACCCCAGCACAGCAGUGGUCUUUCUCUGAGGCUUUGCAUCUUCUCUUUGUUCUUCCAAAGGUACCAACACGUUUAUCUAAUGGUUUGGCUCCUUACCUCACUCUGCUACUAGCCAGCCCUUGCAGCAAGCAGAGGACUCUCCAGGUGACACAUGGCCAUUGGAGACUGUCGGACCUGGGGGGAACAAGGGCCACUGGCGGCUGAAGAAGGGGUAGAGCCUGGGGUAGAGCACCAUGGGAAAUCAUAGAAUCAUGGAAUCAUUUAGGUUGGAAGAGACCCUUGGGAUCAUCGAGUCCAACCAUCUCCCCUACUCUACAAAGUUCUCCCCUACACUGUAUCCCCCAACAUGGAUAUGGUGUAGGGGAGGGCCAGCAGAGCCUCUUUUGGGCUGUCACACCCAGGGGGAUUUUUUUUUAUAUGAGUUUUCCUACCCAGGAGGAUAUUUCUCUUUAUAAACAGCUCUCCAUAGGUCAGAGAGAGCUUUGGCCACCCUGUCUGUGGGAGUGACCGGCAGAUAACAGGAGAAAAAAAACAGGGGAAAAAAAUAAAGGGGCUCAGUGCAAGUCA